CUACUGGACCCCUUCGGGUCCAUCCAGAGUGAGAAAGAAAGACUUU
rfam:Fukomys damarensis contig103078, whole genome shotgun sequence.